rnacentral:rRNA from 1 species
GACGAACGCUGGCGGCGCGCUUAACACAUGCAAGUCGAGCGGGAACCGGGCCUUCGGGCCCGGGGACAGCGGCGAACGGGUGAGUAACACGUGGGUAAUCUGCCCUCGGUACUGGGAUAGCCCGGGGAAACCCGGAUUAAUACCGGAUAGCCCUUCGAGCCUUCGGGCUCGCAGGAAAAGGUAGCUUCGGCCUCCGACCGAGGAUGAGCCCGCGGCGGAUUAGCUUGUUGGUGGGGUAACGGCCUACCAAGGCGACGAUCCGUAGCUGGGCUGAGAGGACGAUCAGCCACACUGGGACUGAGACACGGCCCAGACUCCUACGGGAGGCAGCAGUGGGGAAUCUUGCCCAAUGGGCGAAAGCCUGAGGCAGCGACGCCGCGUGCGGGAAGAAGGCCCUCGGGUUGUAAACCGCUUUCAGGAGGGACGAAGCCACUCGGGUUAAUAGCCCAGAGGGUGACGGUACCUCCAGAAGAAGCCCCGGCUAACUACGUGCCAGCAGCCGCCGUAACAC